rnacentral:tRNA from 1 species
UCCCUCAUAGUACAGUUGGUCGAGUAUGCAUCGCUGUCACCGAUGUGACCUGGGUUCGAUUCCCAGUGAGGGAG